AAUAGGGGAGGCCAUUAUUCCUGGCAGACCUAUUGCCACCCAGCUGUCCCGUACAAUGGCUAAAAGGAAUGCGGGGUGACAACCAUUAUUCUUCAUAUCACAUCUACUGUGGAAGUUGUCGUCUGCUUCUCCUGUGCUCCCGAAUAGCAAAUCCGUCUAGUAUUGCGGCAAUAUGGAAGCAAGGAAUGAGAAGCUGUCCCUAUACCUUCGGACCGUGUAAAGGAAAAAGGUGCCCUGGCAUCACAACGUGCACAGGUAUUUCUCCUAACACCUCCGUGACACCAUCGUCACAACUAAUGCAUCUGCUUUGGACAGUUGCUGACACGGACAGAGGUGGCAGCAGAGAGCACUGUUGUUCAUACUGCUAAUCUGCUCAUCAUCCUCACGAGCUGGAUCUUAGCUCUGGCUGCCGUACAAUCCUCUCCCAGAAUGGAAGUGAUGCCAGAGCAAGACGUAAGGCGUCUCCUAGAACACUUCAUGUUGGAUCUUCACUGUUGGAAAUGCACUUGAUUUUUAUUAUGUAUUACACAUUUAUUAUAUCUUUCACAUAAAAGACUAUUAAUAA